UACGUAGGGUGCGAGCGUUAAUCGGAAUUACUGGGCGUAAAGCGUGCGCAGGCGGUUCGUUGUGUCGGUGGUGAAAUCCCCGGGCUUAACCUGGGAAUGGCCAUGGAAACUGGCGAACUGGAGUGUGGCAGAGGGGGUGGAAUUCCGCGUGUAGCAGUGAAAUGCGUAGGAGAUGCGGAGGAACACCGAUGGCGAAGGCAGCCCCUGGGCUAGUACUGACGCUCAGGCACGAAAGCGUGGGGAGCAAACAG
rnacentral:rRNA from 1 species